CCCACCCCAGCCACGUGACGGCAGGCCAGUGUUCUGUCCCCCUGGAAGCCGGCUGGUGACCAGGUAGUUGAGCCUAAGGACCCGCACCACUGAGAGCCAGGCCCACCUGCCGGCGCGCCGAUUCCGGAUGCGUCGCUGCUGAAGUUGAUACUGCUCACAACCCCGCCCUUCCUCCGGCCCCGCCUUGUGGCGGUCAAAUAAUGCGGCUCAGACCAAACCCUCGGCUCCAUCCUGCUGAGCCCCAGCAACCCUAGCCAGGAAUCCUGGCACUUUGCAGAAUGUGCGUCCUGGUUCCGGUGGCCCAGCUGAGACCCCGUGAGGGGGAGUCUUUCCGCAGGCCCGUACCCACCCCCAGAUCCCACUGAUGACAACCUGCACAACUGUGACAACCAGAUGUGCCUAAUGCUGGGUCUGGGCCCCAUCCCCUGGCAGGGGCACCCCAAGCUUCCCUUCCGGCCAGGCCAGGGCAUCCCUCAUGGCCUUGUGGCAGCUGCUGCUGGCAAAGGGGAGGUGCCUCAUGGGCUGGCGAACCUGAGAUCGACCCUGGAGACACCAUUCUCAGGUUGGACAGUCCUGGAGGCACCGCCCAGGGGCAGCUGCUGAAGCUCUCAGCAGGCGGAGCUGAGUGUCAAGAAUGCUGUGUCUUGGGACCUUCUGGGGAAAGCCAAGUGCAAGACCAGCAGGCCGGGCUCCUGGACUCCCCCGCUCCCCGUGGUGGCUCUGCACUUCAGACACUGGGGCAGCCUGACCGCCGGCCGCCCUGAGGCGCCUCCUUCAAGCCCCAGGUCCCAGGCAGGACAGCACUCAUGUGCCCCCAACCCAUGAGUCACAGCUUCAUUUCCCCAAACUUUAUUUUAUAAAAUGUACAGAGUAAAUUACACUAUAACGGG